rnacentral:rRNA from 1 species
UACGUAGGGGCCUAGCGUUGUCCGGAUUUAUUGGGCGUAAAGAGCUCGUAGGCGGUUCGGCAAGUCACGUGUGAAAUCUCCACGCUUAACGUGGAGGCGCUACGUGAAACUGCCGUGACUUGAGUCCGGUAGGGGGGUGUGGAAUUCCCGGUGUAGCGGUGAAAUGCGCAGAUAUCAGGAGGAACACCGGUGGCGAAGGCGGGUCUCUGGGCCGUAACUGACGCUGAGGAGCGAAAGCGUGGGGAGCGAACAGG